AUGAACGCUGGCGGCGUGCCUAAUACAUGCAAGUCGAGCGAACGGACGAGAAGCUUGCUUCUCUGAUGUUAGCGGCGGACGGGUGAGUAACACGUGGAUAACCUACCUAUAAGACUGGGAUAACUUCGGGAAACCGGAGCUAAUACCGGAUAAUAUUUUGAACCGCAUGGUUCAAAAGUGAAAGACGGUCUUGCUGUCACUUAUAGAUGGAUCCGCGCUGCAUUAGCUAGUUGGUAAGGUAACGGCUUACCAAGGCAACGAUGCAUAGCCGACCUGAGAGGGUGAUCGGCCACACUGGAACUGAGACACGGUCCAGACUCCUACGGGAGGCAGCAGUAGGGAAUCUUCCGCAAUGGGCGAAAGCCUGACGGAGCAACGCCGCGUGAGUGAUGAAGGCCUUCGGAUCGUAAAACUCUGUUAUUAGGGAAGAACAUAUGUGUAAGUAACUGUGCACAUCUUGACGGUACCUAAUCAGAAAGCCACGGCUAACUACGUG
rnacentral:rRNA from 1 species